rnacentral:lncRNA from 1 species
AAAGUUCCCAGUUACAUUUCUCAUCACAGGGAUGCAGGUACUAAUAAAAAUAACAAUAUGAUUGAUGUUAACUGUGUGGAGUUUGUUUCCAAAUCCUACAUUUUGAAAUAUUUGUAAAAUUUCAUGAAUAAAUAGGUUUAAACUACAAAAUGCAACAUUUGUAAUUUUUUUUGUAACUAUUACAAUGAUUAUGUUGGUACACAAAAUUUAGUUUUAAUGGAAGACUACUUAUCAUAUACUAAAUGUCACAUUUUAAGUGUUUAUUUUAGUGGAUAAUUAGCUGAUAAAUUGAGGUGCUCCUGAAUUGGGGGAAGAUUCUCAAAACAGAGUUUUACAGAAAAAAAUGGAAAAGAUCGUUUCUCUCCCCGAUCUCAUGUAGCCCCUCGGACUUCCUGUUUACUUUGAAAGUUGUUG